rnacentral:rRNA from 1 species
UACAGAGGUCUCAAGCGUUGUCCGGAAUCAUUGGGCGUAAAGAGCGUGUAGGCGGCCAGGUAGGUCUGCUGUGAAAACUCGAGGCUUAACCUCGAGCUGUCGGCGGAAACCAUCUGGCUAGAGUCCGGAAGAGGAGAGUGGAAUUCCUGGUGUAGCGGUGAAAUGCGCAGAUAUCAGGAAGAACACCCGUGGCUAAGGCGGCUCUCUAGUACGGUACUGACGCUGAGACGCGAAAGCGUGGGGAGCGAACAGG